UCGUUACAUAGUUUCUCAUUAUUUAUGAAACGUAACCAUAAAUGAAUGCUACUCCCGUGAGGGAGGCAGGAGGAACUAAGGCUCGCUGGCACUGCUGAGGUCACGCCACAAACCUCUUUCAGGAAACACCUUGUACCAGUUCAAUUUCUUCCCUCAUUUGUUUUAACUUGAAGCCAAAGUUUUAUUGCUAUAUUUUAAGUUGCUACCCUAAAGUCCCAAGCGUCACUGUCCUGACCAGGCAUCCCCCUUGCGUCCCAGCGGUGGACAUUCAGAGCAAAGGUCCUGACAGUUGUUUUGUGAGGAGCAGGUGCAGGAUGCAGUCACCCAUAUUCCAGUCACAACGAUGAAGUUCUGCUAUGUGCUUCUGCAUGUGGGGGAACUGUAGUCUUUAUUGGCCAGAUGGAAAGACAGGCCUAUUUCAGACUCCUUACACCUUCAUUAGACACGUCCCCUUCUGGCCUCAUCUGCCUCAGCCAGAAUUUGGUCAAAUUUGAUUAAAAGUAUUUUGUAGGGACUGUAGUUUUGAGCAUCUAGAACAAAUCCUUCUUCCUUCAUAUUCAUUGACACAAAAGAUCUUGGUGGCCAUUUUAAGCUCCCCCAAGGCCUAUUUUUAAAUUUGGGGCCUCUAAACCAGGUUAUACUUUUUAAAUUAUAUUUCUUAGAAAAUUCUGGGUAUAAAUGCCUAUCUUUACUAAUUUAUCUCCCCCCCCCUUUCCUCAUAAAUUCUCUAAAGAAGCCUGAAAACAUAUAGCAUAUGACUUUCUUGGAAAUGGUUGGUUUCAAAUUUGGUGAUGUCCGCACUGAGAACAUAGCUCGUUGGUAGUAGUGUCUGCACAGCAUUUCUGAGACCCUGGAUUUUCUCUCCAGCCAUUAUUCAAUAAAAUUAAUAUAAAUACCGGGGAAGGUAAAUGGCCCCACCCUCAGAUCUAGAUGAAAGCCCCACAUAGGAGAGUCAUGAAAGUUGGCUCACUUCUGCCCUUGUCAGAUUCACUAUAGACAAAGAAGCCAGUGGUUAGGAAAGCAGCAGUUAACACUUACUUGCUCUAAACUUGGCUUCUGCCCCUUCACUCUCACUCUCGCUUUGUCAUUAGCUCCUCCUGCCUAUCAGACCUUUACUCAUUAACGUUACUGCACUGCUAAAAUCCUACUGAUUAACUCAUCAACUUCCAUUUAGAAAGUUUCUCACAUUUUUAUUCUGACAAAGUUCCAUUUUUUUUCUCCUUUCUGAAUUGAGAUUUUAAACACCCCCUCCCCACCAAAAGCUUACUCAGUGUUGUAGGUUCUGUUGCUUUUUGUGUUUUGCCAAGCUUGUCCCUUGCCCCAAAACUAAAGAGCAAGCGUUUAUUUAAAAUAAAAACAAAACUAUAAAUAAAUUGUACACUUUAUAAUAAUCAGUGGUACCGGUUUAGAGACCCGUGGCAGAUUAAAGGUUGCAUUAUUUCUACUUAGAAUUUUUCCUUACUAUUCUGGGGUUUUGUACUUUAAAGCUGGGGAUAGAUCUCACUGGUUUCUGAGGUUAACCACAGUGAUGAUUAGGAAUAUAUAGGAAGGUUCAGUGACCAGUCAUUUCCUGUACAAAUAAAAUCAGUGGUACUGUGUAUCCAGAACCCUGUGAAUUGUCAGCUUCUUUCUCUGGUAGUGAGCCUGUCUGGCGACACACACAAACUCACAGUUGAACCCUGACAUUCUGACUCCUUUGUCUUUACGUCAGGUAACGUAGAGCCAGCUUGGUCUUUCUCUGCCUGCCAGGAGUCCAGACCCUAAUCAGUAUUAUUUCUUUCAUAAACAAUACAGUGAUAGAGUAUGUUCCUUUUCUGAUAUCCAUCCUGUUGACUACUCAGAAGUAAGGCUUACGUGCUGUGCUGCUUACCAUGGCAGAUGCCCUACUGUGUGUUCAGAUGUUCCAGCUCCAUCUCCUAGCUCUAAAGAGAUUUCUCCACCAAAAAACAAUGAAUAGCAUUAAUUGUUUUCCUUUCCUCGGUUUCAUCUGCCCUAGGCACUGGGAGCAGUGUCCCCUAAUGUGUUCUUGAAUAAUCCUGUACCCUGAAACUCUCGAUACCAAUGUCAUGUUACAUACUAACCAGAGGUAACACUUAUCUGACCGUAGCCUAAGAACUCUUCCUUUUAGUUUUAUUUGAAGAGAACCCCAUUUUUUUUUUUGGUUCAUUUUUUUGGAGCUGGGGACCGAACCCAGGGCCUUGCGCUUCCUAGGUAAGCGCUCUACCACUGAGCUAAAUCCCUAGCCCCGAGAACCCCAUUUUUAAUAAUGCUUGAAAUACUCCCAAAAGAAAUGAAAAAGAGACUAAAGUCCACUUUACCUUUCAUACUCACGGAGAAAGCAAGGCAGUGCAAAGAGAUCCUAGCAGUUUGUUGUUUGUAAAUUAGCCUAUCCCUGAAGCCAUGUCAACAGUGGGGCGUCGAUGAUGUCCUCCAAACAGAAGCAAUGGCAUAAUCAGCACUGCAGUCAAUCCCAUAGUUCAGUGUAAUGGUCAAGUGCAGGCUUUUUGUCUCCAGGCCCCUAAACAAAAAAGGUCACAGUGUAAAAGAAUGCCAGUAAUUUAGCAAGAACUCAGAUGAACUCUUAGAGGAGGCCCCUCCUAGGAGCCAUGACUCCCCAGCGUUCUAAAUGAGACCUCUUAGCUGAGUAUUAAAAGUCACUUUUAAUGGGUGGUAUCUUUCCAACAUGCUUCCCUGCUUUCUGAACAGGGGAACCUAAGGCAAGGCAGGAGUAGAGCUGAGGCAAACAGAAGCACAUUGACAAAGUCAGAGUAAUAGAAGAAUCUCAUAGAUAACAGAGAGGACUGGGGGUCUUGGCAGCAGGAACAAGGCACUAGGUAAAUCAUGUGACUGGGGCUGUGUCUUCUUGUCCCUCGAUGCCUCCACUUCCUGUCACUUUGUAUUAUUUAAGAAUAGUUCUUUACUCCCAAAUUCAAUUUUGCAAGCAGUAACUGCAGAGAAUUCUUAUUCUAAGGAAAAGGAUUAAGAAAUAACACUAUCUGUAACAUAUCAAAACCAUGGGAUUCUCCGAAGUGAUUAUACUAUUUCAUAAAUAUGCUUUAGAUUGUUGUUUUUUUACCAGUUUAAUAAACUUGCCUCCCUCUCCAUAGGGACUUUUUACUAUAAACAAUAGCUUCGGUCUAGGAUUAAGGUAGACUAAACGUUGAUCGUGUUAAAUCUUGAGCUCCCUCUACCACAGAAACUGUAUGUACUUUUCUCUAUCCUAGUGAGCCAGUGUCAUUACUGACCAAGUGAAAUUAGAAAUUUGGGUUGGAUUUUGAAAAUGGUAAUCUGUUUUCUAAUUGGUUUUUGCUAAUCAUUCACUUAAACAUGAAUUUCUGCAUUUCAGGUAUCAGUCAUGAUACCGAGUGUUAAAGCUCCUAGCCUGCCUAUUUUCCAUUUCUACAAUGCCAGAGCACGUGGUCGUGUGGGAUAGAGUUGAUUAUGUCGUAGCAUCAGUUGAUGGUAUUCAGUGUUAGAAGUCAGUCCUCUAGCCAGCGUUAACCACACUCCACUCAAUGAAUAUUCUCUACACCGCAAAAACAUUUCAUUAGACCUGCAAGAGCUGAAGUUAGAGAGUACAAAGUCUGCCUGAUGGAGAAGAGGCGCCGAUGGGCGUGGCCCCUGGUGCCUUUCUUACUUGAACUUUCAAAACUGAUAGCGAGUCGCCUGCCCCCUAGAGACAACCUUCAGAAUAACAACCUUCAGAAUAUAUUUUCUUAUAGUGGAUGAGGAAGUGAUGGGGGCGAGAUGAGUUUGCCCUGAAGUGGGGAAAACGAUAUCAAUUUACAACCGAAUAUGUUUUCUUGUAGCAAACCUUGGGUUCAUUUUAUUAAACCAAUGCCAGCUUCAGUUUUUCUAUACGGUGCCAUCCACCUAUGGAGGACAAUCAAAUGACCUAUUGUUUGCCUUGGAUUCAGUGUCCAUUGAGUCUCAUCUUGUACACCUUUGAAUUUAAUUUCCACUUGACUCUUGUCCAUCUGAACCACCACAGGGCAGAGGGCAGCCGGCGGCGGCGGCACUGCUGGACAAAUGUGGACUUGUGAGAAAGGGCAGGGUCCUGCCUUGCUAUCUCUCCAACGCUCUCUCUAGAGUUCCUGCCCGCACUUCUCCUGUUGUCCCUGGCAACAUUAAUAUGCUGUGGACAAGGAGGAGGACUGUUUGUGACCUGAUUAUUUGUUUUGAACUGUUAAGAUAACGUUGUAAACCACUCCUAUUUCAGUUUGCAAAAAAACAAAAACAAAACCCUUGAAACUUUCUUACAUUGUGAAGAUUCAUUAUGUGGGGUUUCUGGGUUAGCAUAGAAGCUUGUAUCAAUGAAGAGUGUUUAGGAGGGAAUUAGGGUGACACUUGUUAUUUUUCUUCUCAAACCCUCUCCCUCUGCUGUGUACACACACACACACACACACACACACACACACACACACACACCCACCUCCACACCGUGUUGGUCAAAUGAUGCUGUCCAGUGAUUACCUGAACUAUAGUUGUCAAGAGUAACUAUGAUUGUGGUUAGUCCUCUGUGGGUGACUCUUGCCCCAUUUGAACCCUUGCUUUCUUUCCUACUCUCCACUCUGGUGAACAGAAAAGGUGACGUCCACGGAUCAAUGCUUGCUUGCACUCAUGUCGUAUCUGUGACUAUGCUAUUAGCUGUCUCCUUUUUCCUUCUUAUAUGGGUAGAAUUCUUAUGACAUGUGGAGUUUCCUUCUGGAUAAGUAGGUUAAAUGCACAAUGUGGUACUGUUCUAUAGAUUCUAGAUGGUGUAAAAAGCAAAAAGUUAAUGUGCUUAUGUGUUUUUAAAAAGAAAAGUGAUUGGUUACAAAACUCUGGCCUUUUUCAUUAUUACAAGCUCUGUUUUCCAAC
rnacentral:lncRNA from 1 species